UGAUGCGGGGCGGGAUGGUGGCUUGGCUGGGAGGAGGAGUUGGGCGGAGCGGGGCGGGACUGAUGGGUGUUUGGGAGGAGGGGCUGGGUGAUGCGGGGCGGGAUGGUGGGUUGGCUGGGAGGAGGAGCUGCGGCGGAGCUGGGCGGAGCUGGAGAGUCGGACCCCGGGAACAGCGCGGGGGCUGAGCAAGGGCGGCUCAGUGGUGGAGGCCAGGCGGUGCCGUUCCGACUCCCGUGACAUAGGCGUCCGGUUGGCGCCGCACCGGUAGGCAACAAAGUGGCAGCCCCAGGGUCCUCCGCGACCUCAGGUGACCCUCAGAAUGGACCCCAGAGAACGCGAAGGCGGGGUGAGGGCGGGACCUGUAGGUUGAGUCGUGCACCUGGGCGCUGAACUGCCCGCGCGGGCUCUCCUUCCGAGCCACCCUGGGACGGCCAGCGGGGUCCGGAGGGACGGUCUUCAUAGGAACAUGUUUCGCAGUGAUCCUUUGGAACCCAAUAAGCAGUACUAGCCCUGGGGAUACAGCAGUGAGUCGAAGGUGCAAGGCCUGCCCUCAAGGAGUGCCCACCCGAAGACCUUGGAUCUGGAAUGAGAGAGAAGCCUUGAAAUCUCCCCUGAAUCCCCAGGCUUCUGCUAUGGACCUGAAUUCUGCCAACAGCAUAAGCCUGGAAGAGAACCCAGAGCUUCCGAUGAGAACACAACCCCGGGGGUAUAUUGAUUACAGCCUUGUGAACCUGAGCUGGACAAAAGGCCCAGCUAAGCUGCAGCCAGACUUCUAACCUAUGGAAACUAUGAGGUACGAAAUGGGUGUUGUUUCCAGCCACUAAGAUUGGGGUCAUUUGUUGCACAGCACUUACAGAUCCCUGUCUUUCCUUCAGUGGGGGCUCUAGCAGCUGGCUCACAGGCUGGCUUGGCACCCUGAGUCCUGCCAUUAUCCUGGGCAACUUCGGUGUCUACCUGGGCAGCCUGUGCUAUGCAAAGCCCCUCGAUUUCUUCCUCACCUCUGACAACCUCUCUUCCUCUCCACCUCACCGCCCCCCCCCAUUCAAGGCCAUAUCCUAGACCUUUUUGUCAUCGGGAUCUGUUUCACCUCACGUGUCUUAAACUUCAGGAGCCCACUCUGACCAAAACCAGUUCUCUUACACCCUCAGUGUUAACCCUUGUCACCCAAACUGCUUUCUCACUGGCCUUCUCCACUUGUUGUCACUCUUGUCCUGCUGCUGCUCCUUCCUGCCCAACAAAACACAUGCACUCGUGGCUCGCGCUGUGCCAACUGGUGCAUGUAAUUUUCUAUCUCCGCCGACCUUCUGCACAGCCCAUCCAUCUCAUCGUGUUCGAAAUGUUUUUAAGUUGUAUUAGUUUUUUGGGCUGCUGUGAUUGAGCACCACAAACUUAAGUGGCUUAGAACAAUGGAAAUGUGUUGUCUUACAAUUCUGGAAGCGAGAAGUCUGACAUUAAGGUGCUGGCGGAGCCAUGCUUCCUCUGAAACUGCUAGCGGAAGGAUCCUUUCUUGCCUCUUCCAGCUUCUGGUGGUUUACUGCCAAGUUUUGCCAUUGCUUGACUUGGAGAUGCACCACUCCAAUCCUCCGAAUUCACGUGAAUAUCUGCCUUCUGUGGGUGCUUGUGUUUGUGUUCAAAUUCCCCCUUUUUAUAGGGAUUUCAGUCAGACUCCGUCCCAUCUUAAUGACCUCAUUUUAACUCGAUUACCUAGUCAAGAUCCUAUUUCCAAAUAAGGUCAGAUGCUGAGGUUUCAGGGGUUAGGACUCUGACAAAUCUUUUUAUUUGGUGUGGGGGUGGGAGUAGGGGUAUACAAUUCAACCCAUAACAAGUCAAAGAGAACAAAAAGUGUAUAAUGCAAAGCAAAGGGCCCGUGCCAUACCCCUCAGCAUCUCUAUUCUCAUUUUGAGUAUUUCUAGUUUCAGUUCUUCUAGUAGUUUGCCUCUGUCUGGAUAAAACACUAUGCUUAUAUUUAUAUCAACUUUUUAUGUUAACUUUAGACAUUCUCAGCUGACUUCCUGUGGUGACAGAGGAGAUUAUAGUUCACUCAUUGUUUCCUCAUAUUUUAAACUUUUGACUGCAGUAAUCGAUCCAAAGUACAUAAAGUAGUAUACUAAAGCCCAGUGCUCAUCACUGAAAUUUAUCAGUUAUUGACUCACGACCAAUUUCGUCUCUCCCUACCAUUCUCCCUUCUCUUAAUAUAUAGAUCACUAUUUCCAGGUUUUCUAUUGGUUCCUUUGUAUCUUUAAAUAAUAUUCCUAUGCCUCGAUGUUUCUUCGCAUCAACUGGGGACCAUAACUAUCGGUCUUCUACUUUGCAGUGAUGAUAUUAAUGAGCCAACUCUUUCCUCCACUUCUCUUCUUCCCUUCCUCCUCCCAACUGUCUGACAGUUGCUGCAGGUCAGGUCCCCAGGGGCGAAUGUGCAGGAGUUUCUUAGGGAGUUGUCUCAGGAUUAACACCUGUUGAAGGGAAGGGAAGAGACUGGAUGGAUGGAGAAGGUGGGCUGUGAUGCAGUCUCAAAACAUGCUCUGGUCCAUCUCCUGGGGAGCUCUGAAGCUGGCAUGGCCUUGUGACGACGAGGCUGUGGGCUUCCUGAGGACUGGUGUGACUUAGUCAAGGUGGCUGUUUUCAUCCAACGCACUUCCCGAGGAGGGCUGACAGCAGCUGACAGCACUCGAGCCAGCUAGGGAAAUAAGAAUCUUGGUCUUGAGGGAGUUCUGAGCAGCGCAUCACAGCACCACCACAGAUGUGUGUGUACUUUUCCAUUGUUCAUUGCUCUUUACCUGUAAUUAAGUUUUCUGGGCUUUGUUGCACAUUGAUUCUCAAAGUUGAAAUGCAAACAACUGUGCAGUAUUGUGACAGUGGUCAUAUUAUUCCUUACAGUUCAAUGUAGGGUUAGGAUGCCAUUCCCAUUUCUUUUUUCAAUUGAAGGACAGUUGACAUGCAGUGUUAUAUUAGUUUCAGGUGUAUAACAUAGGGAUCGGACAAUUCUGUCCAUUACUCAGUGCGCACCAUGAGAAGUGCAGUCCCCAUCUGUCACCAUGCAAGGUUAUUACAGUAUUAUUGACUCUAUUCCAUGUGCUGUACUUUUCAUCUCCAUGACUUAUUUAUUUUAUAACCAGAAGUUUGUACCUCUUCAUCCCCUUCACCAUCCCCCCACCCCUCCUCUCUAGUGACCACCAGUUUGUUCUCUGUAUUUGAGUCUGCUUCUGUUUUUAUUUUGUUUGUUUGUUCAUUGAUUUUUGUUUCCGAUUCCAUUUCUAUAGUUAGUCGUGACCCCCUUGCUGCUCAAGUGGCAGUGUUCAAAUGGAAUCUCCUCUUUUGUACCUUUUACUUUGGUUCCAAAUCUUACCACAUUCUCCUUUGUGUUAUAUUAAACUCUGACUUUCUUUUAUAGUUUUGUUUUUCCUGGAAUUUCUGACUGAAUUUUUAUUUGUAGAAGGGAGAAAGAACAAAAGCCUUCUUCUAGCCAUAGCCCUAAUAUCUUUGAGCUUCUUUUUCUAUGUAUGUCCUGAAAUGCCUCCUAUUCUUCUUCUUGGAGGUCACUGACUUCUGUUUCAAUUUGAACUGGUUGCUUAAUAUUUGGACAGAAACUUUUAGAGACUUUUGGUGUUUUGUAUUGUUUUAGGCAUUCUAUGAUUUUAGCAUAUAUUUUUCUUCCAGUGUCUCAGUUAUAUUCUCUAUUGGAUGCAAUUUUCUGGACAUCUUCCUCCCAGUCUCUAGCCUUCUGUUUCAAUCUGGAUUCCUUACCCUCUAGGUCUGCUGCACAGUUGUCACACUGGAGAAUUGCCUAAAUAAAUACGUAUGAUUAAUAACUUAACAUAAUUAUAUUUAAUGUAAUUAAUAUCUAUAAUUUCCUAAUUGUAUAUACAUACAUAUUAGCUAUGGUGGUAGUAGUAAUGAUGUUGUUCUUCCAUACUUCCUUCAGUUGUUAGAGUGUAUCUUCAAGAAGCCUUGGAAGAAAGGGUCAGGUAGGGGUUGAGUUUUUGAAUUCUUGCAUGUCUGGAGAAGUCUUCAUUCUCUUCCCUGUUUGACAGUUUGGCUAUGUCUAAAACCUCAUGCUGAAAUUCUAUAUAAUUUUUAAUCUCUGAAAGCUUUUAGAAUCUUUUCUUAUCCUUGGUGCUCCGAACUUUCACAAAACUAUGCAUACCUUGGGUAUGCUUUCAUUCAUUGUACUGGGAACGCAAAGAAGUCAUUACAGUCUGAAUUCAGUUUUUUUCUUUAGCUCUGAAGUUGUUUUUCUAAUAUGUCCUUAAUAAUUUCCUCCUGUCCAUUUUUCUCUUUUCCAUCUAUAACUAUAGAAGAUGUUGGUCUUCCUAAUUGACUCAUAUUUUGUUUCAUAUUUCCUAGACUGCAUUUUACCUUAUUGUAUUGAAGCAUAACGUUCAGUAAAGUGUACACAUCUUAGGUGUGGAGCAUAUUUUGUUUCAUGUAAUCACUAAUCAGAUAAAAUAUUAGAACAUUUCCAGCACCCCUAUGGAUGUCCUCAUGCCCCACUCCUCGUCAGUACCUUCCCCAAAAGUAACCACUAUUCUGACCUUAUCACCAUAGAUCAGUUUUGCUGUUCUAGAACUUCAUGUAUAUGUAAUUGCACACUAGGUACUUUUAUUUUUUUGUGUCUAGCUACUCUCAAUCAACAUAUUUGUGGAAUUCAACAUAUUUGUUGCAUGUAUGGGUAGUUUGUUCUGUUUUAUUGCUGCAUCAUAUUCCAUUUUGUGAUUAUACCACAGUUGGUCUAUCCAAAUUAUUGGACACCGUUGAGGGACCUUUGAGUUGCUUCCAAUUUGGGGCUCUUGUGAAUAAUGCUCCUCUGAAUUGUAUGUGUCUUUUGGUGGCCAUGAGUACUUAUGUGUUUUGGGUAUAUGCAUUGGAGUAUCAUUGUUGGUUCAUAGGGUAGGCACGUGUUCAGCUCUAGCUUUAGUAAAUACUGCCACAGAGUUUUCCCGAGAGGUUGUAUCCGUUCACGCUGCUGCAAGCAAGUAGGGGAGUUUGAAGUGCUCCACGUUCUUGUCAGCACUUGGUGGUGUUGUCCUUUCCUGGAUUUCUGUUCUAUGUUUUUAAAGUUCCUUUCAACUUGGCUUUUCGAUUCUUCUAUUGAAUUUUUAAUUUUGCCAUUAUAGUUUUAAUUUCAAGUGAUCUUUCAUGUUCGAUAAUAUUUUUUCAUAGCAAUCUGUUUUUGUUUUAUAUAUUCCAUAUCUUCUCAGAUCUUUCUGAGGAUAUUAAUAAAAGAAAAAGUAUUUUUUAAA